GUGAAGUGUUAAUACAAAUAAAUUAUAAAAUUGUGUUAAAUAUAAGUAAUAAAGCGCUUACUAAAACCUAUUGUGUUAAUUAAUAAAGUAAUAAGUAAUAGUUAGCAUAUUAUUUACCGUGUUUUGUUUGCAGUGAAUGUUUUCGGGGUGAAGCGAAUUCACAACUAUUAUAUUCAAUAAAUACUUAACAAAUAUAUAGUUUCGGUUAUUAUAUCGUAUUAUAUUGAUAAGAUAAACAAUUAAGUAGUAAAAUAAGGUAAUAUUAAAAUAAAUUGUAAUGCAAGAAGUGUGAAUUAUUAAUAUGGUAUGUGCGUGUUAACAAAGAAGUUAUGGAGGAAGACAAGCAGCAGGUGCAGAGAAUGAGGCAACUACUACAUAGAUAUUUGGAAGUUAUCAAAGGUGUGCUAAGAAAAUCAUGAAAAAUCACGUUAAACUUACUUUUGAUGACCCGCAGCUCAAGCACAAAUCAUCAGCCGAGGUUACACAAUCAGCUUUCUAACCUUAAAACGUCAUCAGAGCAUCACUAACUCCGUUUGAUAUUAUAAAUGAGACGCACCUGAG